UACGUAGGUGGCGAGCGUUGUCCGGAAUUACUGGGCGUAAAGGGUGCGUAGGUGGUAGUUAAAGUCAGAUGUGAAAACCCCGGGCUUAACCUGGGAACUGCAUUUGAAACUUAACUACUAGAGUGCAGGAGAGGAAAGCGGAAUUCCUAGUGUAGCGGUGAAAUGCGUAGAUAUUAGGAAGAACACCAGUGGCGAAGGCGGCUUUCUGGACUGUAACUGACACUGAGGCACGAAAGCGUGGGGAGCAAACAGG
rnacentral:rRNA from 1 species